rnacentral:snRNA from 8 species
AUCGCUUUUUGGCCUUUUGGCUCAGAUCAAGUGUAGUAUUUGUUUUUAUCAGUUUAAUAUUUGAUACGUCCCCCAUCGGGGGACUACAUAUUAAAUGGAUUUUUUGAACAGGGAGUUGGAAAUGGGGCUUGCUCCGUCCGCUCCACGCAUCGACCCGGUAUUGCAGUACCUCCGGGAACGGUGCAACACUU